GUAUCAGCUAUAAUAAGUCUUCCUGCAAAUAACCAAGAAAAGCUUUCAAAGUGAGCUCAUUACUGGUAGAAGCAAAAGCUCAAGAACCACAACUCAUUUCCAACAUCAUAUGAAAGAGCAUUAUAUGUCAUAUCAUCCAAUUUAGUUUAACCGAUGGAUCAGCUGAUUGCCGGUGCUGAAUGAAUUUAUUCAGCACAGUAGCCCACAUCAAAAGGCAAGUCCUGUAUUUGAUGAAAUGCAAUUGGGCAUACUUCAUUAAGAAAGGUAAUAUAGCUAAAUACUGUCAAUGAACAAAUGUUGAGCAAAAACGAAGGUAAUGUGGACACAUUUUAAGUUCCAUUAUUGUGAAAAACUAUUUACUGCAUUUGCAUAUGAUGGGAAAGA
rnacentral:misc_RNA from 1 species